UCUCUCAAUGGCUCUUGUGUGCCUCUUCCUGCCCUAAUAUUUGACCGUCCCACAGUCGUCUUUAUAAUUCCUCAGUUUGUUAGGGGAGUGAUAAAAUUUCAGUUUAACAUAAAUCUGACUUCCAAGUAUGGCAGCGCUUUCUUACCAGGUAGGGGAGAAGGCACCACAACCAAGCAACUGAUUCCAGACAAAGUUCUAAUCUGUCUUUCUUUUCUCCCCUUGUUAAAAGUGGGGGGAUGUGAGAUAGUAUGUUAAAAGAGGUGCCUCUGUUUCACAUGGUUAGAUUAGGAAAAACAAAUCUGCCAAAAAACAAAACAAGACUAACUUUCUUAGCUUAACAGGGGUGGUGGAGGAGUGACUAAUUCAAGCUGGUAUCCUAAUUGCAGAUAUCAUACCAGGGUUCUUUUGUUUGUUUGUUUGUUUGUUUAUCUUGGUAUAAGAAUGCAAAAGAAAACAGCAGAGAAGAUUAAAUUCAGUUGACCCAAACAAAUUUUUCUUCUUUCUUUUUAACCUUUGAAAAAAACAGACAUUCUGACUGUCCUGGAAAAACUUUCUCGACAAAAGUCAAUCUUCAAAAUUUUAAGGCUUGUUAAAUCUUCUUAUCUUUUAAUUGUUUAACUUAGUUCUGUUCCAGCUUGCAAAUAAUUUCCUCUCUGGAGCUAUUUUCCUAAUGAACUAUAUAAGAAAAAGCAAAACUACAGCCCCAAUUUAUGCCAGAGAACUAUGACCUUAACUUUAGAAUUAGCAAUAUCUCACACUGAUAAAGUGUCUCAUGAAAACAGUGGGAUAGUGUGGCACCUGUACCAUAACAUACUAAGUUAACACAGCCGGAAUAGAUAAAUACCUACAAAUGGCACUGUGCAUUAAGUUCAUUUAUCAACAGUGAAUGGCUGCAAUUUCACUGUCCUUGAAUUUCAGUUCAUGAAAGGGCUUCUCUCUUAAUAUUGGGGCAAUUGGUAUUGAUAAAUGAGCAAGCAAAUCCACAAGUCAAGAGAUGUCAGACUCUAGUCUGAAUAUACAGUAUGUAAUCCCAACAGCCUCAAACUGCUGUGUGAACAUGUAUCAGCUCCUUGUUGAAAAAUAAAUCACUUUAACUGGACUUUGAAUUUAGUUUGGCUUCCCUGAAAUGCAAUGCCAGGCCUAAACUUGCAGAGAGAAGAACCCUUCCCCGGCGGAACACAUCUCACCACAACUGCUUUUUGCCAUUUUGCAUUAAUAGCAUGCACUGUGCGCAGGGAAGGCUUCUUCCAUCAUACAGCAGAAGUAAAUGAAGAACCUCAUACAAAAUUCUUGCAGCAUGUAACAACUUUUCUUUCGUAUACAUACAUAUAUACAUAUCUACACAUAUUUGUUGCUGGCUUUUACAAAUGUUUAACCAUGUAACGUGUUAAUAUGCACGGACUACAUGUUAGUGUACACCACACUGGAGAAAGUUACAAGGUCUGUUUAUGAUGAAAUGGCCAUUUUCACUGAAAAAAAAUAAAAUCACAACAUUGACCUUUUUAUUAUUAUGUUGAUAAUAAGUAUCCUUUUGUCUUUUGUACAAUAUUUUUCUCUUAAAUCUGCAUCAUAUCAUGCAUGUGCGUGGAGCAUGGCCCAAGCAUAGCCUGCUGGAGAAGAACAGAGGUCGUACAUGACAAGAGAGGGGGACGGGGAGAUAAUGAGAACAACAAAUUGUUUUGGUGCACCUGAUCUGUGUCAGUGAAAUGUGCCACAGUCAUUGUCUUCCUGCUGGGCAAAACCAACCAGAGAAUGAGCAAGUCAUUAGUUAUGAAAAUAAGACUCAAAAAUACCAGCAAGAUUGAGACUGGGGCAAUAUCAUGAAUUUCAAGUCCUUGACAAGCCAACAUUCAAGACUCCUGUUGAUUCCAAGAGGAACAGCUAGAUCUUCAUCCUCCACCUCAAAAAAAUGAAGUCUAACUUAUGACUGAUGCAAUGGAACACUUCAGCACCUAGUUUAAAGCCUCAGAUGAACUUGAACUCUGAUCACCCAACUGCUGGGAUGGCUGCCUUCCUUCAUCUCUCUGGUGCCUUUUAGGUAGCUGGACAUAUUGACAUAAAUCCAAUUCUCUAUGAAGGAAGAUAUUUAGCCUCUCUGGUUGCCUGCGUUAUAGAUGCACGACUUUCAGAUGAUUUGAUGAGUAGUUGCCAGCUAUCCACUUUUCCCUUUCAAAAAUGGUUGACUCAGCCAUACUAGAGUUGGAAAAGUCUGGUCUGGUUCUCUGCAUCAUGGACAUGGACAUGGAAGUGAAGUCUCUACAGAAGUAAUAUCUGCAUGGUGCUAUGUUGUGCUGCUCUUCACCUUCCUGGACUUAGCAGGUCCCUGCCUCAAGGGUCUACCCACUGCACUAUGCUACAUUCUGCACCUACUGAGCCCUGCAGACAUCCUAUCCAGCUGCAUACAUGUAACUGGUUGAGCUAGGAUUUCUUUGUACCAUUAGUGAGAGAGAUAAAUGUCUGUAGAGGCACAAUUUGGCUGUGCUGAGCUGCUUUCUGGUAGGUCUACUUUGUACCACAGAGAGAUGGGAUCUGGGGCUUGUAGAUGCUCACCUUGGGAUUUGCCAAGAGCCACAACAAGGCAGGAUGAACAUGGCACAAAAAGUUUGAUUUACGUAUGUAUCAAAGGACAGAAUGUUGCAGCUUUCCUGUUAAAUGGAAUUCUGCAGUUACUGUCUAAUUUCAAGAGUUGAAACACUGUGCAUCAUAUUUUGUCUGCAAUUAAACUGUUGUCAAGCCACU
rnacentral:lncRNA from 7 species